rnacentral:rRNA from 1 species
UACGUAGGUGGCGAGCGUUGUCCGGAUUUAUUGGGCGUAAAGCGAGCGCAGGUGGUUUAUUAAGUCUGGUGUAAAAGGCAGUGGCUCAACCAUUGUAUGCAUUGGAAACUAGUAGACUUGAGUGCAGGAGAGGAGAGUGGAAUUCCAUGUGUAGCGGUGAAAUGCGUAGAUAUAUGGAGGAACACCGGUGGCGAAAGCGGCUCUCUGGCCUGUAACUGACACUGAGGCUCGAAAGCGUGGGGAGCAAACAGG